UACGUAGGGUGCAAGCGUUAUCCGGAAUUAUUGGGCGUAAAGAGCUCGUAGGCGGUUUUGUCGCGUCUGCUGUGAAAUCCCGAGGCUCAACCUCGGGCCUGCAGUGGGUACGGGCAAACUAGAGUGCGGUAGGGGAGAUUGGAAUUCCUGGUGUAGCGGUGGAAUGCGCAGAUAUCAGGAGGAACACCGAUGGCGAAGGCAGAUCUCUGGGCCGUAACUGACGCUGAGGAGCGAAAGCAUGGGGAGCGAACAGG
rnacentral:rRNA from 1 species